rnacentral:rRNA from 1 species
GAUGAACGCUAGCGGCAGGCCUAAUACAUGCAAGUCGAACGGUGUAGCAAUACACAGUGGCGCACGGGUGCGUAACACGUAUGCCACCUACCUUAAAUUGGGGGACAGCCUUUCGAAAGGGAGAUUAAUACCGCAUAAGACAUUAACUAGGCAUCUAGUAGCUGUUAAAGAUUUAUGGAUGUAUGCUGGGCAUGCGUCCAAUUAGUUAGUUGACGAGGGAAUGGCUAACCAAGACGAUGAUUGGUAGGGGAACUGAUAGGUCAAUCCCCCACACUGUCACUGAGAUACGGGCCAGACUCCUACGGGAGACAGCAGUAGGGAAUAUUGGGCAAUGGGCGCAAGCCUGACCCAGCCAUGCCGCGUGCAGGAAGAAGGCGUUAUGCGUUGUAAACUGCUUUUAUACAGGAAAAAACGACCCUUGCGAGGGGCAUUGACGGUACUGUAUGAAUAAGCACCGGCUAACUCCGUGCCAGCAGCCGCCGUAAUAC